AUUGAACGCUGGCGGCAGGCCUAACACAUGCCAGUCGAGCGGAUGAAGGGAGCUUGCUCCUGGAUUCAGCGGCGGACGGGUGAGUAAUGCCUAGGAAUCUGCCUGGUAGUGGGGGAUAACGUCCGGAAACGGGCGCUAAUACCGCAUACGUCCUGAGGGAGAAAGUGGGGGAUCUUCGGACCUCACGCUAUCAGAUGAGCCUAGGUCGGAUUAGCUAGUUGGUGGGGUAAAGGCCUACCAAGGCGACGAUCCGUAACUGGUCUGAGAGGAUGAUCAGUCACACUGGAACUGAGACACGGUCCAGACUCCUACGGGAGGCAGCAGUGGGGAAUAUUGGACAAUGGGCGAAAGCCUGAUCCAGCCAUGCCGCGUGUGUGAAGAAGAUCUUCGGAUUGUAAAGCACCUUAAGUUGGGAGGAAGGGCAGUAAGUUAAUACCUUGCUGUUUUGACGUUACCAACAGAAUAAGCACCGGCUAACUUCGUG
rnacentral:rRNA from 1 species